GUGACAGCCCCGUACACAAAAAUGCACAUACUGUGAGCUCGAUGAGUAGGGCGGGACACGUGGUAUCCUGUCUGAAUAUGGGGGGACCAUCCUCCAAGGCUAAAUACUCCUGACUGACCGAUAGUGAACCAGUACCGUGAGGGAAAGGCGAAAAGAACCCCGGCGAGGGGAGUGAAAAAGAACCUGAAACCGUGUACGUACAAGCAGUGGGAGCACGCUUAGGCGUGUGACUGCGUACCUUUUGUAUAAUGGGUCAGCGACUUAUAUUCUGUAGCAAGGUUAACCGAAUAGGGGAGCCGAAGGGAAACCGAGUCUUAACUGGGCGUUAAGUUGCAGGGUAUAGACCCGAAACCCGGUGAUCUAGCCAUGGGCAGGUUGAAGGUUGGGUAACACUAACUGGAGGACCGAACCGACUAAUGUUGAAAAAUUAGCGGAUGACUUGUGGCUGGGGGUGAAAGGCCAAUCAAACCGGGAGAUAGCUGGUUCUCCCCGAAAGCUAUUUAGGUAGCGCCUCGUGAAUUCAUCUCCGGGGGUAGAGCACUGUUUCGGCAAGGGGGUCAUCCCGACUUACCAACCCGAUGCAAACUGCGAAUACCGGAGAAUGUUAUCACGGGAGACACACGGCGGGUGCUAACGUCCGUCGUGAAGAGGGAAACAACCCAGACCGCCAGCUAAGGUCCCAAAGUCAUGGUUAAGUGGGAAACGAUGUGGGAAGGCCCAGACAGCCAGGAUGUUGGCUUAGAAGCAGCCAUCAUUUAAAGAAAGCGUAAUAGCUCACUGGUCGAGUCGGCCUGCGCGGAAGAUGUAACGGGGCUAAACCAUGCACCGAAGCUGCGGCAGCGACGCUUAUGCGUUGUUGGGUAGGGGAGCGUUCUGUAAGCCUGUGAAGGUGUACUGUGAGGUAUGCUGGAGGUAUCAGAAGUGCGAAUGCUGACAUAAGUAACGAUAAAGCGGGUGAAAAGCCCGCUCGCCGGAAGACCAAGGGUUCCUGUCCAACGUUAAUCGGGGCAGGGUGAGUCGACCCCUAAGGCGAGGCCGAAAGGCGUAGUCGAUGGGAAACAGGUUAAUAUUCCUGUACUUGGUGUUACUGCGAAGGG
rnacentral:rRNA from 1 species